CUCAUACCUGUUCUCAGUCACAGUCACCAUAGUCAUCAGCCCCAGCACUGAUUGCCCACACCUGCCUCAGCUCGUUACACUCCCUUUAUCCCUGCACUCCUCUCACGACCCUAUUGUCCGGUCUACAAUUAGCAUCGCAAGACAAACAUUGAAAGAGGACUGAUUACACACAGAUAAGACUAUGCCCCCUACUCCGGCAUUGCCCCCCGCACUCCCUGAUCCGCCAUGGCUCCUUGGACUGCCUGUCCCGCCAUGGCCCCCCGAGCCCCCUACUCCACCAUGGCCCUCCAAGCUCCCUGAUCCGCCCUUGAGGCCUCCCGUGUCUCCAUCUUAGACCAGCCUCCAGGGCGCCCACCCAGUUGUUCCUGUGUUCCGAUCCCCGUUCUCCACCGCUCCUGUGCUCCACCGUCUCCACGCUCCGUUGUU